CAUCUACUCCCUCCAUCCGAAAAUACUUGUCAUCGAAAUGGACAAAAAAAGAUGUAUCUCAAACUAAAAUACGUCUAGAUACAUCCCUUUUAUCCAUUUUGAUGAUAAGUAUUUUCGGACGAAGAGAGUAUUAA
rnacentral:pre_miRNA from 1 species